rnacentral:rRNA from 1 species
AACGAGAAAGGUUCUUUUCGGAGACCGAGUAGAGUGGCGCACGGGUGAGUAACACGUGGAUAAUCUACCUUCGAGAUUGGGACAACCAUUCGAAAGGAUGGCUAAUACCGGAUAAAGUUCAUGACUGUCAAGGUUAUGGAUGAAAGACAGCCUCUGCAUAUGCUGUUGCUUGGAGAUGAGUCCGCGUACCAUUAGCUGGUUGGUGGGGUAAAGGCCUACCAAGGCAACGAUGGUUAGCUGGUCUGAGAGGAUGAUCAGCCACACUGGAACUGGAACACGGUCCAGACUCCUACGGGAGGCAGCAGUGAGGGAUUUUGCGCAAUGGGGGAAACCCUGACGCAGCAACGCCGCGUGAGUGAAGAAGGUCUUUGGGUCGUAAAGCUCUGUCAACAGGGAAGAAGUUAACAUAUAUUAAUAGUAUAUGUUAUUGACGGUACCUGUGAAGGAAGCACCGGCUAACUCCGUGCCAGCAGCCGCGGUAACACGGGGGGUGCAAGCGUUAUUCGGAAUUAUUGGGCGUAAAGGGCGCGUAGGCGGUAAUGUCAGUCAGAUGUGAAAGCCCGGGGCUCAACCCCGGAAGAGCAUUUGAAACAGCAUAACUUGAGUACGGGAGAGGAAAGCGGAAUUCCU